UACGUAGGGAGCAAGCGUUGUCCGGAAUCAUUGGGCGUAAAGCGCGCGUAGGCGGCCCUGUAAGUCCGUUGUGAAAGUCAAAGGCUCAACCUUUGAAAGCCGAUGGAUACUGCAGGGCUAGAGUCCGGAAGAGGCGAGUGGAAUUCCCGGUGUAGCGGUGAAAUGCGCAGAUAUCGGGAGGAACACCAAUGGCGAAGGCAGCUCGCUGGGACGUUACUGACGCUGAGACGCGAAAGCGUGGGGAGCAAACAGG
rnacentral:rRNA from 1 species